rnacentral:miRNA from 9 species
CAGAAUUCUAUCUGGUAUUGGG